GCGCCGGGGGAGUGUCCGGGGGGGCUGGGCUUGAGUAUUUCGCCCUGGAAAAAUCGAUAGAGAUCUUGUAAUGAUGCGAGGAGACUACGUCUCAAGAAUGGAAACUGAGGAGUUGGGUCGGAUUGAAACAAGUGAAGAGUGCAGGCAUCCGUGGCAUGUAGAUUAUUUAGAAAAAGAUUCUAGUGGAAGUCAAUCGUUUCGUAUCCACGUUCGGAGCCUUAAUAAAGAUGCCGUUCCCUUUAAGAGCUGGAUCAGCAUUACACAAGCUGUCAGGUGCACAGAGGCAGCAAAUCAAGAAUAAACUGAUGUACUUGAGUGAAAAGGAAACUUGUAAACAAUUGCUCUCUCUCCCUAUUGGUCACUCCCUAUACUUUUGUACACAUUCUAUUGACUCAGGUCUACAGUAGUUCAAAAACAUGAUACCUCUACUCUCAGGCAAGGAACAAAUGAACACAGUAUGCUUUCAUGAAACAGUGUAGGGAAAUGGCUUAGCAUAGUUGUAUAUAAAUAAAUCGUAUUAAAAGAAUGUAUGAAAACAAGCUAUCUUGACAGAAUGAGGAUUUGUAUUUUGCGUGCCGUCUCCUAUGCUGCUCCUGGAAGCUGAAUUCAGAUGGUGCAAUAGAGUACUUUAUGGCAUCUAGCACCAUUUGAAAUCAGUGUUCUUGGGUCGGUCCUGACAUCACACGGGAACCUAAAUGCUGUGGACUACUCCAGUGUUUGUAAUCAGUGUAUUUGCAUGUCUGACUUGUACAAGUUUUAUAAAUUAAAUAAAACUAAUUUAUUCUUA